GAUGAAGAACGUAGUGAAAUGCGAUAAGUAGUGUGAAUUGCAGAAUUCAGUGAAUCAUCGAAUCUUUGAACGCAUCUUGCGCUCCUUGGUAUUCUGAGGAGCAUGCCUGUUUGAGUGUCAUUAAAUUCUCAACUACACUGACUUUGAAUUGGUGUGGCUUGGAUUUGGGGGGAAAAUUGUUGUGGGCUUUUUGUAUAGUCUGCUCCCCUGAAAUUGAUUAGCGGUACCUUUGUGGAACUGUCUACAGGUGUGAUAAUUAUCUACAUCUUAGACAUCUGCUGGAAUGCUGCUUUCUAAACCUUACUUGUAUUGACAAUCUUGACCUCAAAUCAGGUAGGACUACCCGCUGAACUUAAGCAUAUCAAUAAGCGGAGGA
rnacentral:misc_RNA from 1 species